ACUAUAGUAGGCUUAAUGGUAAACCUCAGCACUUCCAAUGCUAUUUUGCGUGUUCGAAUCACGUCUAUAGUA
rnacentral:tRNA from 1 species